UCCCGGCCGACGAGUCCUGAAUAGGACGAAAUGCGCGUCAAACUGGAU
rnacentral:hammerhead_ribozyme from 1 species